AAUGAGUGGUCCUGCAAGAUUCACUAGAUCCUUCACAGGUUCUGCCUGGUUUUUGUCACUCUUUAAAUUGUACUCCAGAUGAGACACGGGGUUUUGAACAGAGCAACAUACUUAACGUUUUUUUUACGGUCACUCGGCAGGGACUGCACGUCUUUCUGACCUCAUUUCAAACUGUCAUUGAAAAGCUAUUUUUAUAGGUCUACAGGAAGCCCAGUCACUCAGACGCUUGCAGAAGGAGGGGCCAGCUGCAGUGACCACGGUCUACAUGACAAAAAAUGAGAUAAAAAAAGAAAGCCCUACAGUUUGGUAAUGAC